UACGAAGGGUGCAAACGUUGCUCGGAAUCAUUGGGCGUAAAGCGCACGUAGGCGGCUUCGCAAGUCGGAUGUGAAAUCCCUCGGCUCAACCGAGGACGUGCAUCCGAAACUGCGGAGCUUGAGUACUGAAGAGGAUCGCGGAAUUCCCGGUGUAGAGGUGAAAUUCGUAGAUAUCGGGAGGAACACCAGUGGCGAAGGCGGCGAUCUGGGCAGUUCCUGACGCUGAGGCACGAAGGUCAGGGGAGCAAACGGG
rnacentral:rRNA from 1 species